GGGGCAAUGAUGUCAACGGUAGCAUGAUGGUCUCCAAAACCAUUCGUCCAGGUUCGAAUCCUGGUUGCCCCG
rnacentral:tRNA from 1 species